rnacentral:rRNA from 1 species
AGAGUUUGAUCCUGGCUCAGGAUGAACGCUAGCUACAGGCUUAACACAUGCAAGUCGAGGGGCAGCAUGGUCUUAGCUUGCUAAGGCCGAUGGCGACCGGCGCACGGGUGAGUAACACGUAUCCAACCUGCCGUCUACUCUUGGACAGCCUUCUGAAAGGAAGAUUAAUACAAGAUGGCAUCAUGAGUCCGCAUGUUCACAUGAUUAAAGGUAUUCCGGUAGACGAUGGGGAUGCGUUCCAUUAGAUAGUAGGCGGGGUAACGGCCCACCUAGUCUUCGAUGGAUAGGGGUUCUGAGAGGAAGGUCCCCCACAUUGGAACUGAGACACGGUCCAAACUCCUACGGGAGGCAGCAGUGAGGAAUAUUGGUCAAUGGGCGAGAGCCUGAACCAGCCAAGUAGCGUGAAGGAUGACUGCCCUAUGGGUUGUAAACUUCUUUUAUAAAGGAAUAAAGUCGGGUAUGGAUACCCGUUUGCAUGUACUUUAUGAAUAAGGAUCGGCUAACUCCGUGCCAGCAGCCGCGGUAAUACGGAGGAUCCGAGCGUUAUCCGGAUUUAUUGGGUUUAAAGGGAGCGUAGAUGGAUGUUUAAGUCAGUUGUGAAAGUUUGCGGCUCAACCGUAAAAUUGCAGUUGAUACUGGAUAUCUUGAGUGCAGUUGAGGCAGGCGGAAUUCGUGGUGUAGCGGUGAAAUGCUUAGAUAUCACGAAGAACUCCGAUUGCGAAGGCAGCCUGCUAAGCUGCAACUGACAUUGAGGCUCGAAAGUGUGGGUAUCAAACAGGAUUAGAUACCCUGGUAGUCCACACGGUAAACGAUGAAUACUCGCUGUUUGCGAUAUACUGCAAGCGGCCAAGCGAAAGCGUUAAGUAUUCCACCUGGGGAGUACGCCGGCAACGGUGAAACUCAAAGGAAUUGACGGGGGCCCGCACAAGCGGAGGAACAUGUGGUUUAAUUCGAUGAUACGCGAGGAACCUUACCCGGGCUUAAAUUGCAGAUGAAUUACGGUGAAAGCCGUAAGCCGCAAGGCAUCUGUGAAGGUGCUGCAUGGUUGUCGUCAGCUCGUGCCGUGAGGUGUCGGCUUAAGUGCCAUAACGAGCGCAACCCUUGUUGUCAGUUACUAACAGGUUCUGCUGAGGACUCUGACAAGACUGCCAUCGUAAGAUGUGAGGAAGGUGGGGAUGACGUCAAAUCAGCACGGCCCUUACGUCCGGGGCUACACACGUGUUACAAUGGGGGGUACAGAGGGCCGCUACCACGCGAGUGGAUGCCAAUCCCAAAAACCUCUCUCAGUUCGGACUGGAGUCUGCAACCCGACUCCACGAAGCUGGAUUCGCUAGUAAUCGCGCAUCAGCCACGGCGCGGUGAAUACGUUCCCGGGCCUUGUACACACCGCCCGUCAAGCCAUGGGAGCCGGGGGUACCUGAAGUGCGUAACCGCGAGGAGCGCCCUAGGGUAAAACUGGUGACUGGGGCUAAGUCGUAACAAGGUAGCCGUACCGGAAGGUGCGGCUG